GACGAACGCUGGCGGCGUGCCUAAUACAUGCAAGUAGAACGCUGAAGAGAGGAGCUUACUCUUCUUGGAUGAGUUGCGAACGGGUGAGUAACGCGUAGGUAACCUGCCUUGUAGCGGGGGAUAACUAUUGGAAACGAUAGCUAAUACCGCAUAACAAUGGAUGACACAUGUCAUUUAUUUGAAAGGGGCAAUUGCUCCACUACAAGAUGGACCUGCGUUGUAUUAGCUAGUAGGUGAGGUAAUGGCUCACCUAGGCGACGAUACAUAGCCGACCUGAGAGGGUGAUCGGCCACACUGGGACUGAGACACGGCCCAGACUCCUACGGGAGGCAGCAGUAGGGAAUCUUCGGCAAUGGGGGCAACCCUGACCGAGCAACGCCGCGUGAGUGAAGAAGGGUUUCGGAUCGUAAAGCUCUGCUGUAAGUCAAGAACGGGUGUGAGAGUGGAAAGUUCACACUGUGACGGUAGCUUACCAGAAAGGGACGGCUAACUACGUG
rnacentral:rRNA from 1 species